GUCUAUGGCCAUACCACCCUGAACGCACCUGAUCUCGUCUAUCUCAGAAGCUAAGCAGGGUUGGGCCUGGUUAGUACUUGGAUGGGAGAAAGAAAGUUUCCUCAUCUCUGAUAGGCA
rfam:Dipodomys ordii contig_6437, whole genome shotgun sequence.